rnacentral:rRNA from 1 species
UACGAAGGAUCCAAGCGUUGUCCGGAUUUACUGGGUUUAAAGGGUGCGUAGGCGGAUUAUUAAGUCAGUGGUGAAAGCUUGCAGCUUAACUGUAAAAUUGCCAUUGAAACUGAUAAUCUCGAAUAUGGUUGAGGUGGUUGGAAUGUAUCAUGUAGCGGUGAAAUGCUUAGAUAUGAUACAGAACACCGAUUGCGAAGGCAGAUCACUAAACCAUUAUUGACGCUGAGGCACGAAAGCGUGGGGAUCAAACAGG